GACGAACGCUGGCGGCGUGCUUAACACAUGCAAGUCGAACGGAAGGGCCCUGCUUUUGUGGGGUGCUCGAGUGGCGAACGGGUGAGUAACACGUGAGUAACCUGCCCUUGACUUUGGGAUAACUUCAGGAAACUGGGGCUAAUACCGGAUAGGAGCUCCUGCUGCAUGGUGGGGGUUGGAAAGUUUCGGCGGUUGGGGAUGGACUCGCGGCUUAUCAGCUUGUUGGUGGGGUAGUGGCUUACCAAGGCUUUGACGGGUAGCCGGCCUGAGAGGGUGACCGGCCACAUUGGGACUGAGAUACGGCCCAGACUCCUACGGGAGGCAGCAGUGGGGAAUAUUGCACAAUGGGCGGAAGCCUGAUGCAGCAACGCCGCGUGCGGGAUGACGGCCUUCGGGUUGUAAACCGCUUUCGCCUGCGACGAAGCGUGAGUGACGGUAAUGGGUAAAGAAGCACCGGCUAACUACGUG
rnacentral:rRNA from 1 species